UGCAUCGGCAGGGAAUCGAACCCGGGGUGCCCGCCACUAUAAUAUAUAAAUGAGUUUUAAAAAUUGUAAAAAAAAAAAAAAAUGCAUCGCCCGCGUGGCAGGCGAGCAUUCUACCACUGAACCAAAAGC